rnacentral:rRNA from 1 species
UACGAAGGGGGCUAGCGUUGCUCGGAAUCACUGGGCGUAAAGCGCACGUAGGCGGAUUGCUAAGUCAGGGGUGAAAUCCUGGAGCUCAACUCCAGAACUGCCUUUGAUACUGGCGAUCUCGAGUCCGGGAGAGGUGAGUGGAACUCCGAGUGUAGAGGUGAAAUUCGUAGAUAUUCGGAAGAACACCAGUGGCGAAGGCGGCUCACUGGCCCGGUACUGACGCUGAGGGUGCGAAAGCGUGGGGAGCAAACAGG